CUGAAUAACUACGCAAAUCGAUUAGGUUUUAAACCGGCGAUGUGUCCUUCAGGUGGCUGCCUUAUCUACUUUCGAUGGUAGCUUCUGUGACUACCAUGGGUGCGACGGGAAACGGAGAAUUAGGGUUCGACUCCGGAGAGGGAGCCUGAGAAACGGCUACCACUUUGAAGGAAGGCAGGAGGCGCUACUAUUACCCACUCUCGGAAAGAGGAGGUAGUGACGAAAAAUAACGAGAUAACCCGCUCUAGCGAGUUAUCAUCGGAAUGAGUACAAUCUAAAUCCUUUAACGAGGACCUAGCGGAGGGCAAGUCUGGUGCCAGCAGCCGCGGUAAUUCCAGCUCCGCCAGUGUAUAUCUAUGCUGCUGCGGUUAAAAAG
rnacentral:rRNA from 1 species